rnacentral:lncRNA from 1 species
CCAUGUAAAAAAAAAGAAGAAAAUAACAAAAAGAAAAACAAUCAAUACGUCUCAUCUCAGAAUGAAAUAAGAAUUUUUUUUAAAAACCAAUAACAUCAUAGAAGUUUAACAUUAAUCUGGACAAUCACAACAACAGAAGACAAUCUCAUCUCAGAUUUAGAAUACAAACCAACAAAUCAGAACCAUCUCAGAUUACAAAUCAAAUUCACUAGAUCAAGGGGUGACGAUGAUGGUUGGAUGAGGAAGGGGCCGCGAUGGUGGCUCGAGGGGCAACAGAGGUUGCACGAGGGAGGGUUUGCGACGGUGGCUUAAGGACUGACAGUGGUUGCACAAGGAAGGGGCCGUGAUGGAGGUGACACGAGGGAGGGGCCACAACGGUGGUUGUGCAAGGGAGGGGCCGUGAUAGUGGUUGCGUGAGGGAGGGGCCACGAUAGUGGUGCAUGGAGCGAUGAUGGUGACACGAUGACCAACGUUUUGUUUAUGAUGAAGACAAAAAAGAGAAAGAGAAUGAGGAAACUAAGAAGUGGGGGAGAUCGAAUAGAGAAAAGAAGAGAAAGAGGAGUUGUGGUGUGUGGUGGUUCUAUUGUGGUGUGAGGAAGAGGGGCUUUGCUCUCUC